UAAAAAGUUGUCGAGAAUCAUGAGUGCAGAGAGGCACACACACGUAAACUCGGGUCAAGUCAGGUCAGACCAGUUCGUGUUCCAGAUAGGGAGCGCAGAAAGGUCAUUUUUAAUCACUAAA